UACGGAGGGGGCUAGCGUUGUUCGGAAUUACUGGGCGUAAAGCGCACGUAGGCGGCUUUGUAAGUUAGAGGUGAAAGCCCGGAGCUCAACUCCGGAAUUGCCUUUAAGACUGCAUCGCUAGAAUUGUGGAAAGGUGAGUGGAAUUCCGAGUGUAGAGGUGAAAUUCGUAGAUAUUCGGAAGAACACCAGUGGCGAAGGCGACUCACUGGACACAUAUUGACGCUGAGGUGCGAAAGCGUGGGGAGCAAACAGG
rnacentral:rRNA from 1 species